GCUGCUGAGAAGGAGAAGACAGUGCGUGGUUAAUGCGCGGCCUGGCCUGUUCCCACCUGGUCGGAGCGCACCUCAGUCCCCCAUGGAAAGGUCAGACCCUGUGACGCCCGAGGCUCCCUCGGUGUCGAGUUCACUGAGUUCCGGGGUUACUUUAGAAGAUGGUGAAACAAAUAGUUUAGGUUUUUUGAACAGUAAAGUAGUUGACGACCAUGGCAGAGCAUCCUACCUCCGGUCCUGUUCCCAGAGGCUGUCGUCUUUGAGACGUACAUUUUGAGUGCAUGCCACAUGUUUCUUUUUCUGCAGAAGCGGUCGUCCCCUGUUCUGCACCCUGCUUGGUGCACUCAGUACAGACAGAGGCUUCCACGGUGGCCCUGCUUCAUUUUCCACUGUAUGGACGGACAGACGUGGGCUUCUGAAAACAAGCUACCUGCCCUGGGGACCCAGCAAAUAUUUGCUGGAUGGAAUACGUGCUGCUUUCGUGCUCACAGAAGCGCUGGCUAGGCCACUACCUGCGCUGGUGCCGUCCGAUAGCCAGGGACACUGCCACCAGCUCACGGACUGUUUUGUGGGAGCAGAAUGAGCCUGAUUUCUUACCUGCUGGAAUAGUGGGAAGUAGAAUGUCUGACCUGUAGGAGAUCCAUUACCUGUCUCAGGAGACUCAGGGCAAACUCCAGAUUGUGAAGCCUCUGUCUGUUGAUGGCGUUAACUUCAGUGAACUUGGCAGCAAGAGCCGCUUCCUACGGGAGAGCACAGGUCUAAACUCCAGUC